GAAAAUCCGUUGGCUUUUUAGACCGUGAGGGUUCAAGUCCCUCUACCCCCA
rnacentral:tRNA from 20 species